ensembl:lncRNA
AUGGUUUCUAUAACUGCAUGUUGUUUUUCUUCCUCAGGUGGUGACUAUAGACUAGAUCCUGCUUCCCAAAACCUUGAUGAUGACUCCACUUUAAAUUUUGACCAGGGAGAGGCUUUUGCUGAACAGCUCUCUGGCCUGAUCCCUCCAGCUUAUAUCCAACCUCUAAUAGCCCAGCCACCAAGGAUGGUCCCACUUAAACUGGAGACCGUGUAUCCUCAUAGUGAUGAUGAGAUAGUGAAAAUUCUUAAUGGUGUGUCAAGACAAUGGGAGUCGAACCUUCUUGACCCGAUCAUAUUUCCUUUACCACUUGGUAACCCAAUUGUGUUCCAGCCUCAGUCUGCUCCAAUUUUUUAUCCAAGUGAAAACACCAUCUCAUUGAUCACUGGUCAAACUCUUCCACAUCGAAGCCCAACAUCUGCCCAGUCCUCUCCCUAUGAAGCUGCAUCGUAUCAGUUUUGGCAACCUGCAAGUACCAUGGCAGCUGGAUCUCCCUAUGGUUCCCUGUACCAGCAGCUCUACACUGGUUCCAGUCAAAGAGGCGACUCCAGUAAGCCUGCUGUCCAAGUCCUUCUGAACAGACUUCCAGGUGUUUCUGAAGAGCCUCUGUCAACCUCAAACGUGGUGGGAUUCGUGUGGCCUCCAGCAAUAUACGGUCCUGUUUCAGUCCAAAUGCCAGCCGGUGUUCCUCGUAUGAAUGCCAAACCUCCUGUGUCUUUUAACACUGCAGAACAGUCUGGUCACACUGGUAAGACUGGUAAUGCUCUUGGGCGGAAACUCCCAGCUCAACCUCGAGCAGCAGGCCGAUCUUUCAAGAAAAACUUUCAAGUCUCUAACGUCGCCAAUGAGAUCCCAUACUUGGGUAAAACAAGCCAAUGGCCACAGAAGUUUGUCUUCCCAGAGAAGUACUGGGUUCCUCAGAUGAGAAUCCCCUCAAGAGCGAGCCAGCCUGUCAGUUCUCAACCACUUCGGAAGAGCUUUGUUGUCCGUUCUAAAAAUGCUUACCAACGCAAGAGGUUCCUGCAAACCAAAACCACUUAUAUUCCUAAAUACGAAUUCUCAAAGAUGAACUAUGCCAACUCUCCAGAAGAAACUGCACCAACCCCAGCCAGAAAACCUGUGCAACAUGGAUCCAUCUCAGAAAAUGUAGGAAAAACUUCAAGAAUGGCCUGCCUUCAGGGGAAUGAAUGCAUGAAAUAAAGUCUUUUACAUUGAAUCUUUGCAGAUGAGUGGGUAUUAAUGUGAUUCCUAAAUGAUUACAUUUAUUAUACAGCUUUAAAGUGCCUUACCUUGGCAUUGAAAUCCUUGUUUCCCAAAUCCCCUGGAAUAAAGACAAAAGAUUUAAACCUAGACAUUGAAACAAAUCUAUAGGACAAAAAAAAUUAAAACUAUCCUUCAAAUUCAGCAGCUCACCAUAUGAAAUCCGUACAGUGGCUACAGAACGUCGGCUGCUUGAAGAAUCUCGCAGUAAACUUGUGGUUUUUCACUUCGUGCACGUUCUUCUGCCGCAACGCUCCUUUCCGGGCGAAUCUGUUCCCAACCCCUGUCGAGUCAUUGUAAUGUAGGAGAUGCUCGGCCAUCAUGGGGGCAAAAAUAAAAGUUAAAAGACCUAACUAGAAGUCCCGACCGACGUCGGUGAUGCUGCUGACGCGUUUGGUCCUCUCCUCUCUCCCUCAGCUCUACAGCUGAGCGCUUUCUCAUUCAAAGUGACGUAACGUGGUGGAGACGCCUGUUUCUACGUACGGGGGAAUAAUUACGCUAACAAUCUUACUACUACACACCCUCAUGUGAGAUAUAAGUACGCAAUGGGAAAACCAAGUAAACUUAAUUAAACUACUGGUCUUUUGAUGGACAAGCUUUGACGUAUUAACAUGUAAUCUGUUAAAAUUGUUAACAUUCAAAAAGCUAAAACAGUCUUAAUUUAAAGCUAAUUAAUUUAGAGAAUUUCUAGAUUAUUCCUGGCUAGAUAAAAUGAGGACAAGAGCCGUGUGGGUUGUAAACUACAGGAGCAGUGCGCCAUCUAGUGGACGCAAAGGUCAACUGACGAGUCUACUUGAAUCUCGUGUUAAAUUGAGAUUUUACAACUUUUAUGUGAUCAAUUUGGUACUUGGAAGUUUUUUUUCAAAGAUCUCAAGUUGUCACUACGAACAAACUUUUUUCUGUUAUUUGCUUUUGAAUAAGUUUGAAUACAAAUAGGCUUAAAUUAAUGAGUAAAAUGAGGGUGCAUGAAAUGCCUCAACAUUCACUUACUUUAUGCAGAUCUGCCAUCACUAAUAUGUUGAGUUUUGAUGCUGAAAGCCAUAAAACUGUUAUAAUCUGAGAUUUGAUUAUAGCUGUACAAGUGUUCCCUGUGAUGGACCGAAGACCUGUCCAGCGUGUCCCUGGUCUCUCACCUGUCGACGGUUGGAGAUAGAUACCAGCUCCCCAAACUCUAUUGAGGAAAAAGCAGUACAGGAUAUGAGUGUAUAGUUUUUCUCCACAAAUCUAAUGAGUAAGUCUUGUGGUGAAGAUGUAAUAUUGAUUGUAGUGUAAUUGGAAAUGCAUCAAAAUGUUUAUUUUUCCUCAGGAAGUUAAAAGAGUUAGGCUACUUCACAAUUAUUCAGGACAGCUAUACUGACCGCUUUCCACACUCGACUUCUUUCUUCUACAAUUUGCUCUUUAACUGUAUUAUUUCCUGCUAUUUCAGCUGUUAAGUUUAUUUUUUCUAUAAGCGGUUUUGUCUCCCCAGAAGAAGCUACAAUGAUGUUCUGCUGAGCUGUGGUAGCCUCAUGGAGGGGGCCAUUGGCUUGAACACUGCUGCUAACCACUUAAACAUUCUCCCUCUCCUGAUAAUAACAUUUUACUGUCUUUUCAAUUGAAUGUGCUACUACUAGUUUACUCGUUUAAUUAUAGAUUCACUAGGAUAAAUACAAUAAAGUUUAUCUCUCACCAAAUAGAGUAUUUACUAAGAAAUCACAAUGUAACCAUAGAAACGCUACUUGGUAUAUAUGUUGGGGGGAGGGGGGGGGGGGCUCUGUCUUCUCGAUCCCCAGUGAGUCGUGACGGAUGGCUGCUUAUAUUGAGCUAGGAUCCUCUGGAGGUUUCUUCCUGUUAAAAAUGAGUUUUCCUCUCCACUGUCACUGCAUGCUUGCUUAGUAUGAGGAUUGCUGUAAAGUCACUGACACUAGUCAGUGACUUGAUGCAAUUUGCUGGGUUCCGUAUAUAGGAAACUUUUUACUGAUUGGCUUAAUGAACUGACCUGUAUUCUAAUGUUUACUGUGUGAAGUGCCUUGAGAAGAAUCUUGUUGUGAUUUGGCGCUUUAUAAAUAAAAUUGAAUUGAAUUGUUCAAACAGUACUCCAUUUCAUAUUGCUGUGUCCAGACAUCUAGAGAGAAAUCCUAACACCUUAGUCACAGUUUGGGACAGCAAUAGCUCAGGAGCAGGGGUGCCUCCAGAAAAUUUUAAGGGGUGGCCGCCGGCCGGACAGGGCCGAAGACAUUUUUGGGGUGGCACACUAUAUUGGUCCUUGUGGUAACUCUGGGAGAACUUAGCCUGUGGCAAUGUAUUGCAUUGCUACUUUAUUUUUUAUUUUUUUAAAACAGUACGUACGUGGCCAAAAAAAUGUCACUUAAAUUUUACAAACACAAACAUUUCUGAAAAAUAAAUUUCAUUAAUUUGAAAUGUUAUUUCAACUUUUAUUUUAAAAUGUAUUUAUUUAUUUCACCUGUUGCUGUGUUCACAAAAAACUAUGAAGAUAAAAACAUUUUUAAUAUGUGAGCAGCAAAAACAUAUGCCUUAUUUUUCAUUCUGAUUGUUUCUUUAUUCAAUAAUUGUAUUAUUUUUUAUUUUAUUUUGCAUUUGUGUCUUGAAUAAAUAAGAUCAAUUUAUGAAUUCAGGGAACAUUAACGUUACUGUUCCCUGAAUUCAGCUAAUUUCCCUGGCCACCCUUUGGGGGCGCUAUUGCUCAGGAGAUGGAGCCAAUUGUCCAGUAAUCAGAAGGCUGCAGGAUCAAUCCCAGCUCCCUGCAGGGAACCCUGCCGCUAUGUCCACAAGCAUGACACCUCACCCAGCAAGGCCUGACUCAGAAAGGUGCUGUACAGAUGCAGGUCAUUUAUCAUUCAUCAUAAAGAACAAAAAAAAAGUUCUAGUUAUUUUGGUUAAAUGUCAAUGUUUUUUUAAUGAAAAAUUAUGUGAGGUAUUUAAGAGAAAUAUGUCUGGAAAUGUUGAAUUUCUCACUGAACAAAUCAGUGUUGCUCAGCUGACACACCUGUAAACAAUCAGCACUAAUUGCGCUUCUAAAAGCAGCUGGUAGCUGUCCUCGUUUAUAUUUAAAGAGCCCUAGAGGCAUCUCACUACAGGAAAAGGAUUUCUCUCAUGUCCAGGUCUAGUCUGUUCCAGAGAUCAGCCUCUGAAAAGUAGUGGGAGCUGCUUUUCAGCCAACAGUCAUGGGUCUUGUGCUCUUUUUGUG